UACCUCACAGGGGGACACAAGUGGAUCCAUGUAGUAGGCCUCCUGACUUCAUCUUUCUUCCCUGCAUAAAUAUCAUUCAUUUGACCAUUUUAUAUGGCACCAUAUGCUGGAGCAAUGACAACAUUUGAUGAGUUAUUUUGAAAAAUUGAAACUCCAAGAUUAAUGCUGUUAAGAAUCAGCCCAACCUUAGUUCUCUUUCCCAUCUUGCAAGAUGGCGGUGAAAACGUUGAGAAGCUGGAUACUAAAGAGAAGAAACCUGAAGCUAAGAAGGCUGAUGCUGGUGGCAAAGUGAAAAAGGGUAACCUCAAGGCUAAAAAGCCCAAGAAGGGGAAGCCCCAUUGCAGCCACAAUCCUGUCCUUGUCAGAGGAAUUGGCAGGUACUCCCGAUCUGCCAUGUAUUCCAGAAAGGCCAUGUACAAGAGGAAGUACUCAGCUGCUAAAUCCAAGGUUGAAAAGAAAAAGAAGAAGAAGUUUCUUGCAACUGUUACAAAACCAGUUGGUGGUGACAAGAAUUGCGGUACCGGGUGGUUAAACUUCGCAAAAUGCCUGAGUAUUAUCCUACUGAAGAUGUGCCUCGAAAGCUGUUGAGCCAUGGCAAAAAACCCUUCAGUCGGUACGUGAGCAAACUGUGAACCAGCAUUACCCCCGGGACCAUUCUGAUCAUCCUCACUGGGCACAGCAGGAGCAAGAAGG